rnacentral:rRNA from 1 species
UACGGAGGGUGCAAGCGUUAUCCGGAUUCACUGGGUUUAAAGGGUGCGUAGGUGGGUUGGUAAGUCAGUGGUGAAAUCUCCGAGCUUAACUUGGAAACUGCCAUUGAUACUAUCAGUCUUGAAUAUUGUGGAGGUCAGCGGAAUAUGUCAUGUAGCGGUGAAAUGCUUAGAUAUGACAUAGAACACCAAUUGCGAAGGCAGCUGGCUACGCAUAUAUUGACACUGAGGCACGAAAGUGUGGGGAUCAAACAGG